rnacentral:rRNA from 1 species
AGCGAAAUGCGAUAAGUGGUGUGAAUUGCAGAAUCCCGUGAACCAUCGAGUCUUUGAACGCAAGUUGCGCCCGAGGCCAUCAGGCUAAGGGCACGCCUGCCUGGGCGUCGUGUUCUACGUCUCUCCCACCAAUGCUUGCUCGGCAUAUACAGGUUGGCAUUAUGU